rnacentral:rRNA from 1 species
AGAGUUUGAUCCUGGCUCAGAACGAACGUUGGCGGCGUGCUUAACACAUGCAAGUCGAACGAGAAAGUUCCUUCGGGGACGAGUAAAGUGGCGCACGGGUGAGUAACGCGUAGAUAAUCUGUCCAGGUGUUCGGGAUAGCCCUUCGAAAGGGGGAUUAAUACCGAAUACGUUGGUCUGUCAUAAGACAGAUUAAGAAAGGUGGCCUCUAUUUAUAAGCUAUCGCAUUUGGAGGAGUCUGCGUACCAUUAGUUUGUUGGUGGGGUAAUGGCCUACCAAGACUUCGAUGGUUAGCGGGUCUGAGAGGAUGAUCCGUCACACUGGCACUGAAACACGGGCCAGACUCCUACGGGAGGCAGCAGUGAGGAAUAUUGCGCAAUGGGGGAAACCCUGACGCAGCGACGCCGCGUGGGUGAGGAAGGCUUUCGGGUCGUAAAGCCCUGUCAGGUGGGAAGAAAUGGUUAUAAGUUAAUAACUUAUAGCUUUGACGGUACCACCAAAGGAAGCACCGGCUAACUCCGUGCCAGCAGCCGCGGUAAUACGGAGGGUGCAAACGUUGUUCGGAAUCACUGGGCGUAAAGGGCGCGCAGGCGGUUUGAUUAGUCAGAUGUGAAAGCCCACGGCUUAA